CUACCUUUCAUCUCUGGGACAGCUGUAGCUACCAGCAUCUGUUACCCUUUGCAAAUGAGAAAAAGGAUGUUACAGCUGGAUGCUCCUUUUCAGCUCACAUUGUGAUUCCGUCUUGUUUUGAUGUGGCAGAUGUGAACAAGUUUAGUGAAAGGAGCGGACUGGGGAUUAGCUUAGAAGCUACAGUGGGACAUCAUUUUAUUCGGUCUGUUUUGCCUGAAGGGCCUGUUGGACGAUGUGGCAGAUUGUACAGUGGAGAUGAAUUAUUAGAAGUAAAUGGACAAUCUUUGCUUGGAGAGAAUCAUAAGGAUGUUGUAAAUAUUCUAAAAGACCUUCCUAUCAAUGUAAGAAUGGUGUGUUGUCGUGCAGUUCCACCUGUUACUGAGACAGCAUUGGAUGAGACUCAUAUGUCAGAGCAGUCGCAUAUAGACCUUGGUGGACUCCUUGGUGCUUCAGAGACAGAAGAUGCUAAGCUGGAAAUAGCUAACAUAAAUCAGAAUACUGAAGAGGUACAAGGUUCUUCUCUGGCAAUGUGGGAAACAGAAAUACAACAAAUUGAGCUGGAGAAAGGCAGCAGAGGUCUUGGCUUUAGUAUAUUGGAUUAUCAGGUAAUUUCUGAAUUCCCUAAUAUAAGGAUGUAGUUUGUACACUGAAUCCAGUAUCCCUGAAUUCAUC
rnacentral:lncRNA from 1 species